AAUCCAUUGACUUAUAACUCAAAAGUUGUAGCUUUGUUUUACAAAUAAAAUUUAUUAAAGUGAAAUAAGCUAAAUUCAAGUGUCUUCCUUAGUCAAAUAUGGGCAGCUCAAAAGUGGUUAUAAUUCGAAGUACAGUUGCCAAACGACUUAAAAAAGGAUGUCAAGGAGUUAACAUAUCCCUCAUGGUGAAGGUGAUAAAGCCUGUAUAUGCAACCAAGCGACUUACAACGUGACUAUAUGAUGAAUUGUGAAGCAUGAUCGCAUAGCAAUAUCAACUAAACUUAUGGAGGGUUUUUCCUUAAUAAUGAACGAUUAAACAAAGGAUGAACCAAGAAGAUGACGGGCAGACAGAGAUUAAGCGAGAAAUUUAAUCAUCGCUCUCGUGUAGCAAUGCAAAUCAAGUUUUAAAGACCUAUUUGAAGGACAUGAGUGAUUCCGUUUUGAUCCCACUGUUGGAGCCUUGUUGGAGCGAGAAACGACGAACAACUUCAUUUAUUUUCAGUUCACAUUAAUGUAGCGUGAAUUAAGUGUCAAGGACAUUUUUUGGUUGUGCUGCCAACGACGCAACAUGUUUCAGUCUCUGGCUGUGAAGCAGGCACCUCCAUCUUCGGCCUCUGUGUCCAUGUCCUUGCACUCUGGCACUGCGGUGGGUGGUAUGUUUGUCAUGUGUCCUCGCAGCUGCGUGUGUGCCUGGGUGUGUUUCAGCCGUGGGUAACCGAAAAUGCAUUGCAACAUUCAAGUAAGUGACGUAAAUGCAUCACGGACCCAGCACAACACACUCACGCACGUUGGCUGGUCCGGCGGACGGACGGAGUAUAUCAUCGUCAUCAUCAUCAUCGGGAUGCGAGCGGACAUCCCCGCACAGAGCGCACAUACGCUCAGGCAGGCAUCAGAGGCAGUUAUGGCUGUCAAGAUGAAUGCCAUAUCAUUGCCGCACCGAAAAUGGUGUCAAAACGUCACCAACGGCGGUUCAGCCCUUCAGCAGUAAAACUGCAAACAGAAAACAGGACCUCCACCGUUGUUAUCCGGAUGAGUUAUGAGUUGUGCUCGGCCGGAGACAAAGGAGGAGCCCCUGGCCCCCAGCACCGGGCUUCACUGCAUUACAGUCAGCCUGCCACAUACAUAGGUCUAGGCUUGUGGGAAAUUCUUUGAAAUCCGACUUAUAUGUAUAUAUUACAGCGGGGAUGUACCGAAUUAGCACUGCAGAGACAUGGAGACAUCGCAAAGCAAUAGAGAACGAGAUCAACUUAUAGUGAAACUUGGAGUUACAUAGUUUUAAUGAUUUCGCUGUUUAGGGUGGUAAGUGUAAGUAUUUGAUUCAUUCACUCAUCGUAGGAGCCAAUCCACAAUUAAAUAUAAAAUCGGAUCAAGU